GCUGCUCCCGGCUCUGCAUCCUCGUCUCUGGCCUCCCUUUCCUCCAGGAACCAGCUUUGCCUCCUGCACCGAGAGAUGUCCUGCUGCAGACCCUGUCCCCCACGGCCCUGCGGCCCCUGUGGCCCAACCCCCCUUGCAAGCAGCUGCAGUGAGCCCUGCCUCGCCCGCUGCGCUGACUCCAUGUUCUACAUCGAGGCUUCGCCGGUGGCGGUGACCUUGCCGGGCCCCAUCCUCACCUCUUUCCCUCAGAGCACAGCCGUGGGAUCCUCUCUGUCAGCUGCUGUGGGCAGCUCCCUCAGCACCUCGGGGGUUCCCAUCUCUUCUGGGGGCUCCCUUGGCCUGGGGGGCUCAGGCCUGUGUCUGCCUUUCCCCCGCUGCGGUCAGAUCUGCUGAGGCCGGCGCAUCGUCCCCGCUGGCCCUGGCAAGUGGGCCCUUCUCUUUCCCUCCCUGGCCCCCCACACGUGUUCCUUGGUCUCUGUUCUGUGCCGCUGCUUUUGCUCCUUCUCAUUAAAGCCUUUGUGCAGCAUU